CCUACGGGAGGCUGCAGUCGAGAAUCUUUCGCAAUGGGGGAAACCCUGACGAAGCGACGCCGCGUGCAGGAUGAAGGCCUUCGGGUUGUAAACUGCUGUCACUUGGGACGAAAAAUGUUUUGGUGAAUAGCCAAGAUAUUCGACUGUACCGAGAGAGGAAGCCACGGCUAACUCUGUGCCAGCAGCCGCGGUAAGACAGAGGUGGCUAGCGUUGUUCGGAUUCAUUGGGUGUAAAGGGUGCGUAGGCGGUUUAGAAAGUCAGAUGUGAAAGCCCACAGCUUAACUGUGGAACUGCAUCUGAAACUUCUGAACUCGAGUGCGAGAGAGGUAAAGGGAAUUCCCGGUGUAAGGGUGAAAUCUGCAGAGAUCGGGAGGAACACCAGUAGCGAAGGCGCUUUACUGGCUCGUAACUGACGCUGAGUGCACGAAGGCAUGGGGAG
rnacentral:rRNA from 1 species